UCUUUACAAUCCAAGUGGGCUAGUGAGUGAGUGAUCAUUCCUUGAGAAAAAAGCUUAACUCAGGCACCCCCAACUAACCAAAAGGAGCCUAAGUGCCACACAGUUUCGAUCUUAAGCAUCGGCCUGUGACAGAGGCGUGACGGCAAGCUGCGGGGAGAGAGAGAGAUGGGUGUUAUUGUUUUUGGUGGGAACUUGGAUUAGAAAUUCUGAGGACAAAAGGGUUGGAUGAACAUGUAUUGUGAUCCUAGUGUGAAGACAACAAAUGUGACUUGCAGGAGACAGAAAAUUUGCAUAUGAGAUAGAGGAUCAGCACCCUUGAAAUUACGCACCCAGCAACUGACUUUCAUUUCUCAGUUCAUGUCAGAAUUAGUUCCGCAGCCUCUCAUGUCCAACAAGUCUUAAAUUUGGCUCCCGCAUAUGUUUCUUUGACAUUGUACACCACUUGACUAGGGAUUAACUGUCAAUCGAG
rnacentral:lncRNA from 1 species